rnacentral:rRNA from 1 species
GUGCCAGCCGCCGCGGUAAUACGGAGGGUGCGAGCGUUAAUCGGAAUUACUGGGCGUAAAGCGCAUGCAGGUGGUCUGUUAAGUCAGAUGUGAAAGCCCGGGGCUUAACCUCGGAAUAGCAUUUGAAACUGGCAGGCUAGAGUACCGUAGAGGGGGGUAGAAUUUCAGGUGUAGCGGUGAAAUGCGUAGAGAUCUGAAGGAAUACCGGUGGCGGAGGCGGCCCCCUGGACAGAUACUGACACUCUGAUGCGAAAGCGUGGGGAGCAAACAGGAUUAGAUACCCGUGUAGUCC